rnacentral:rRNA from 1 species
CAGCAGCCGCGGUAAUACAGAGGAUGCAAGCGUUAUCCGGAAUGAUUGGGCGUAAAGCGUCUGUAGGUGGCUUUUCAAGUCCGCUGUCAAAUCCCAGGGCUCAACCCUGGACAGGCGGUGGAAACUACCAAGCUGGAGUACGUUAGGGGCAGAGGGAAUUUCCGGUGGAGCGGUGAAAUGCGUAGAGAUGUGGAGGAACACCAGUGGCGAAGGCGACUCUCUGGUCUGUAACUGACGCUGAGGAGCGAAAGCGUGGGGAGCGAACAGGAUUAGAUACCCCGUAGUCCCUGUCUCUUAUACA